rnacentral:rRNA from 1 species
GACGAACGCUGGAGGCGUGCUUAACACAUGCAAGUCGAACGAUGAAAUGGAGCUUGCUCCAUGGAUUAGUGGCGAACGGGUGAGUAACACGUGAAUAACCUGCCCUUAAUUUUGGAAUAACCCAGGGAAACCUGGGCUAAUACCGGAUAAGUAAACCUGUGGCAUCACAGGGUUUUGGAAAGUUUUUCGAUUAAGGAUGGAUUCGCGGCCUAUUAGCUUGUUGGUGAGGUAAUGGCUCACCAAGGCGACGACGGGUAGCCGGCCUGAGAGGGUGAACGGCCACACUGGGACUGAGACACGGCCCAGACUCCUACGGGAGGCAGCAGUGGGGAAUAUUGCGCAAUGGACGAAAGUCUGACGCAGCGACGCCUCGUGAGGGACGAAGGUCUUCGGAUUGUAAACCUCUUUCAGCAGGGACGAAGCGAAAGUGACGGUACCUGCAGAAGAAGCACCGGCUAACUAUGUGCCAGCCGCCGCCGUAA